AAAACGGCCCUUUUUAGGGCCACCAAUAUUAUAUUUGAUAAUUUAU
rnacentral:ncRNA from 1 species